GAUCGUAAAGCACUCCCAGUUGGGAGGAAGGGCAACACCUAAUACGUUGGUGUUUUGACGUUACCGACAGAAUAAGCACCGGCUAACUCUGUGCCAGCAGCCGCGGUAAUACAGAGGGUGCAAGCGUUAAUCGGAAUUACUGGGCGUAAAGCGCGCGUAGGUGGUUUGUUAAGUUGGAUGUGAAAGCCCCGGGCUCAACCUGGGAACUGCAUUCAAAACUGACAAGCUAGAGUAUGGUAGAGGGUGGUGGAAUUUCCUGUGUAGCGGUGAAAUGCGUAGAUAUAGGAAGGAACACCAGUGGCGAAGGCGACCACCUGGACUGAUACUGACACUGAGGUGCGAAAGCGUGCGGAGCAAACAGGAUUAGAUACCCUGGUAGUCCACGCCCUAAACGAUGUCAACUAGCCGUUGGGAGCCUUGAGCUCUUAGUGGCACAACUAACGCAUUAAGUUGACCGCCUGGGGAGUACGGCCGCAACGUUAAAAACUCACAUGAAUUGACGGGCGCCCGCACAAGCGGUGGAGCAUGUGGGUGUGAUUCGAAGCAACGC
rnacentral:rRNA from 1 species